rnacentral:rRNA from 1 species
GGUAACCUGCCCAUAAGAGGGGGAUAACAUCCGGAAACGGGUGCUAAUACCGCAUAGUUUUCUUGAUCGCAUGAUCGAGAAAGGAAAGACGGCCUUUGUGCUGUCGCUUAUGGAUGGACCCGCGGCGUAUUAGUUAGUUGGUGAGGUAAUGGCUCACCAAGACGAUGAUACGUAGCCGACCUGAGAGGGUGAUCGGCCACAUUGGGACUGAGACACGGCCCAAACUCCUACGGGAGGCAGCAGUAGGGAAUCUUCCGCAAUGGACGAAAGUCUGACGGAGCAACGCCGCGUGAGUGAAGAAGGUUUUCGGAUCGUAAAACUCUGUUGUCAGAGAAGAACAAGUCGGAGAGUAACUGCUCCGGCCUUGACGGUAUCUGACCAGAAAGCCACGGCUAACUACGUGCCAGCAGCCGCGGUAAUACGUAGGUGGCAAGCGUUGUCCGGAUUUAUUGGGCGUAAAGCGAGCGCAGGCGGUUCCUUAAGUCUGAUGUGAAAGCCCACGGCUCAACCGUGGAAGGUCAUUGGAAACUGGGGAACUUGAGUGCAGAAGAGGAGAGUGGAAUUCCAUGUGUAGCGGUGAAAUGCGUAGAUAUAUGGAGGAACACCAGUGGCGAAGGCGACUCUCUGGUCUGUAACUGACGCUGAGGCUCGAAAGCGUGGGGAGCAAACAGGAUUAGAUACCCUGGUAGUCCACGCCGUAAACGAUGAG